rnacentral:rRNA from 1 species
AUUGAACGCUGGCGGCAUGCUUUACACAUGCAAGUCGAGCGGCAGCGCGGGGGCAACCCUGGCGGCGAGCGGCGAACGGGUGAGUAAUGCAUCGGAACGUAUCCCGGAGUGGGGGAUAACCUAUCGAAAGGUGGGCUAAUACCGCAUGAGCUCUGAGGAGGAAAGCGGGGGACCGAAAGGCCUCGCGCUGUGGGAGCGGCCGAUGUCCGAUUAGCUAGUUGGUGGGGUAAAGGCCUACCAAGGCGACGAUCGGUAGCUGGUCUGAGAGGAUGAUCAGCCACACUGGGACUGAGACACGGCCCAGACUCCUACGGGAGGCAGCAGUGGGGAAUUUUGGACAAUGGGGGCAACCCUGAUCCAGCCAUGCCGCGUGAGUGAAGAAGGCCUCGGUU